UGGGGUAUAGCUUAAUGGCCAAGGCAGCUCCCUUACACUGAGUUGAUGUCUGUUCAAGUCAGACUACCCCAA
rnacentral:tRNA from 1 species